rnacentral:sRNA from 1 species
AUAUCUCUCUGUACGGGAAGGAUGAGAAGCUUCGACUAAGGUUCGAUUCGAGCGAAAGCGAGAAAGCGUUGCCGCAGGCAACGACCCAAAGGGCGAAGCGCGCAGCGCUGAGUAAUCCUUCCCCCACCACCA